rnacentral:misc_RNA from 1 species
GGAUUUCCAGGCAUAUUGAUAAUCUGAAUAUACAGUAACAAACGAUACUCCCAUCAACAGACAGCAAAUGACAGAACUCAGAUUGCCAGAAACACUAAUAAUGAAAAGCUUGCCAAUCAUGCAAAGGAUAUUCCAUUUCUUUGUAUGCACAUAUGUUGCCGAGCAGGCAAGGGUUUUUCUCUAAAUUCACUAACAUAUAACUGGAUCCUUACCCAUCAUGGCACGAAUUAUUC